rnacentral:rRNA from 1 species
CAGCACCUCAAGUGGUCAGGAUGAUUAUUGGGCCUAAAGCAUCCGUAGCCGGCUCUGUAAGUUUUCGGUUAAAUCUGUAUGCUCAACAUACAGGCUGCCGGGAAUACUGCAGAGCUAGGGAGUGGGAGAGGUAGACGGUACUCGGUAGGAAGGGGUAAAAUCCUUUGAGCUAUUGAUGACCACCUGUGGCGAAGGCGGUCUACCAGAACACGUCCGACGGUGAGGGAUGAAAGCUGGGGGAGCAAACCGGAUUAGAUACCCGAGUAGUCC